CCCCAACGCAAAAGUGAAAGUGAACGGAGCGCUUACAGAGUCUUUCCCGAUCUGCAAUGGGACGAGACAGGGAUGUCCGCUAUCUCCCAUGCUCUUCGCUCUGGUACUCGAACCGUUCCUAGAGGCAGUACGCACCUCGGAUGAAAUCCCGGGCUACAAAAGCGGUAAUGUAGCACACAAAGUGGCGGCAUAUGCCGAUGACCUUUUAUUCUUUAUCACGAGCCCGGAGACAACAAUGCCCCAUCUCAUAGCUAUGCUCAAC